GCGAGAUGCAAUAGGAUCAUUUGUUGCAUGGCCCUUGGAUCUCAUUUUCAUUGAUGAUGAGACGCCUACAAAACCCGCAUCUAAGGAUAAAGGGAUUUUGCGGCACAACGAGUCUGUUGCAUCACAAAAAGAGGUAUUUGCUCAAGGGUCACAACAACUGAGCCAGAAAAUUGGUAGUCGACAGAAAAACAAAAGGGAUCUUCCAGUGA